rnacentral:lncRNA from 1 species
CAGAAAGCUCCCCGCCACCGGAAAAAUAAAAGUUGUCGGAUUUCAGAAAAAAUUAUAUGGAUGUGCUCGGAAUUACCCAGUGAUAGGGCUGUCCAAAAGAAAAAAUUUCAAAAGAUGCCUGGAUUGGGCUCACGCGCCGGCGCGUGACAGAAGGGGGGCGCGCAUGUGGCGCGCGUGGCGGCGCGUGGGGGGUUCUUUGUCGGAUCUGUUUUCAGGGUGGUGGUCGGAUUUGUAUAAGCAUGGCAAUGGUGUUUGUGAAAACUUAAGAUUCCUUGUUCUCAGGCUCCUUGGGGAGUGUGCCUGAGAGCUUGACAAAGUAGAGAGCUUGACAAAGUAGAGAGCGUAUGGCUCAUAUGUGACCCAGAUCCUUGUUAGGUAGUUUCAAAGCAG